GAAACAUAUAUUAAUCAUACUGAUAUUAUUACACGGAAGCAAGGUAACGGUUUCAGAAUAGGAAGAUAGAAUGGCUUCAAGUACUAAAUUCAUUUUAAUGCUUGUGAUCAGCAGCUCCAUCGUUAUUAGCCACUGUAUAGGUAUGCCAGGAAAUGAAAUACAUAGACGGAGAAUCUGUGAUUCUUUAGAGUCGAUGUUUCCCAAGUCGUAUUGUCAAGAAAAAAUUGAAAUGCAAUAUGUAAUGUGUAGUGAAUGCGGUCUAUAUGAUACUUUAAGGUGUGAGCGGUAUAAGUGUCAAAACAUAUGAUGUUUCCGAAGAAGAUAACAAGAAGAUCAGAUGCUAGUGCUGUAAACAUGGGCAAUUAACUGUAUAAUAGUCAUGGAAGAAUCUUGUUUUGUUAUAACAUCUGAUAUUUGAAAAUAAAAAAAGUUUUUGAGAUA